rfam:Oryza sativa Japonica Group DNA, chromosome 7, cultivar: Nipponbare, complete sequence.
UAUAAGUACAGUUGUGGUUUUCUAUAUUUAACAUUUGAUCGUCCGUCCUAUUUAAAAAUUUUUUUAUGAUUGAUAUUUUUAUUGUUAUUAGAUGAUAAAAUAAUACUUGAUGUGUGACUUUAUCUUUUUAAUUAUUUUAUAAAUUUUUCAAAUAAGAUGGACGGUCAAACGUUGGAUAUUGAAAACCACCAUUACACUUAUA